GGUUUAGUUAAGUCAGAUGUAGAAACGGCCCGGGGCUACAACCGUACGGUAAUUGCUAUUUAGAAACGUGGACAAACUAGAGUACUGUAGGAGGGGGUAGAAUUUCAGGUGUAGCGGUGAAAUGCGUAGAGAUCUGAAGGAAUACCGGUGGCGAAGGCGGCCCCCUGGACAGAUACUGACACUCAGAUGCGAAAGCGUGGGGAGCAAACAGGAUUAGAUACCCUGGUAG
rnacentral:rRNA from 1 species